rnacentral:tRNA from 1 species
GCCCGUCUGGCGGAAUUGGCAGACGCGCUGGCCUCAGGUGCCAGUGUCCGAAAGGGCGUCCGGGUUCAAAUCCCGGGGUGGGCACAA